UUUAAAGUCACCUGCAUGGGACAGUUCCAAGCCUAUCGCUCCUCUACGACUGCCCGAAAAAAAAAAUCUCUAGAGAAACACCACUGUUCCUGUUCCUAUGGGUCCGAAACACACUAUUUUGCCCCCAAAAAACUCUAAUCCAGAUCGAUUCGACCUGAUUGGAGCAUAUGCGAGUGGUUUUUCCUAUUUGGGUGUUGUAUAAAAUCAAAAACCAGAGACGAUUUGUCGAAAAUCGAACCGACUAUGAAAAACAAGAACAGAGCCUGUAACUUUGAGGACAAAGAUGAACCUGGAGUGAGAGAAGAAUCAAGAGAGGCUUUUGCUUCAACUUCGCCGCCGAAGUACACGUUUUGCCUUAACAGAUGCAGAUCUUCACUAUAUCGUCGUUGCUCGCGAGCAGAUUUUGGGGCUCGCCAUUGGAGAGAGACCCACUUCAGAGAACGAACCUAGUUACAG
rnacentral:lncRNA from 1 species